rnacentral:rRNA from 1 species
GACAUCCAGAGAAUUUAGCAGAGAUGCUUUAGUGCCUUCGGGAACUCUGAGACAGGUGCUGCAUGGCUGUCGUCAGCUCGUGUUGUGAAAUUGUUGGGUUAAAGUCCCGNAACGAGCGCAACCCUUAUCCUUUGUUGCCAGCACGUAAUGGUGGGAACUCAAAGGAGACUGCCGGUGAUAAACCGGAGGAAGGUGGGGAUGACGUCAAGUCAUCAUGGCCCUUACGAGUAGGGCUACACACGUGCUACAAUGGCGCAUACAAAGAGAAGCGACCUCGCGAGAGCAAGCGGACCUCAUAAAGUGCGUCGUAGUCCGGAUUGGAGUCUGCAACUCGACUCCAUGAAGUCGGAAUCGCUAGUAAUCGUAAAUCAGAAUGUUACGGUGAAUACGUUCCCGGGCCUUGUACACACCGCCCGUCACACCAUGGGAGUGGGUUGCAAAAGAAGUAGAUAGCUUAACCUUCGGGAGGGCGUUUACCACUUUGUGAUUCAUGACUGGGGUGAAGUCGUAACAAGGUAGGCGUAGUGCU